rnacentral:ncRNA from 1 species
UUCAAUGAUUCAUCUAAUUUCCCUUUUCCACAUAAAUGUACAAUUUGAUAAUGCUCUAAAAGUGUAUCUAGAGAUUCACGGACAAUUUUAUUUACAGCUGCAGCACCAAGACUUCCUCCGAUAACCAUGAUAACCGGUUUGCCUUUUGUAAAU